AAUAUUUGUGUACUGUUGUACUCAUUGAAUUAUUUAUUUUUCUUAGAGACCCCAAUAAAAAAAGAAAAAGAAGAAGAUGAAAUAGUAGUGGAGGAAGAGAUUAUUAGCACUGGAAAACCUACAGAGGGAAAGGCUAAAAAGAGAUUUUCCUGGUUCCGGUAAGAGAUGUACUUUUUAUAUAUGGAUAACAAUAUUCUUAAUAAACAAAACAUUUUAUUUCUCCUGGAAUUUACCUCUUUGGCUACUGUUUGCUAUGUUUUUUGCCCCUUUCUACAAAAGAACUUCAUUAUUUAUAUGAAUUUUCUCAGUUGUUCACAUCUUCCUCAAAUGGGUGCUGGCAUAGAGUAAAGGUGUCAAAUUCACAGUUUAUGGAUGUGACCCAGAGAGAUCCAUUUCUUUUUGAGUCUGAUAAUAACAACUUAGUGGGAAAAGUAUAGGACAUGGAAUCUGAGUUAUCUGCAUUCAGACUGGAGUUUUAUCACCUAGUCAUGUGUUCAAAUUCAAGUAUUUUCUGAUCAAUAGGUUACAGACUUCCCAUCUAUAAAAUAUUACAAGUUGACAUCUAGAGUUACUUCAGAUCUAAAUCAGUGACCCCCUCGCUCCUUACAAGAGAAAUCAUGUAUUAGUUGUGGUUAAUGUGGAGGAGAAAGUAGAGAAAUGACAUUGUGCCAUACGCACACAUAUUUAACUUAACUGGCUUCCAUAUCUAGUUUUAUAUUUUUACCUAUAGCGCCAAAUUUGAUCUUGCCCCUUCUCUAAUACAUAUGCUGACAUAGCACGUAUCCUACAAAAAGUGUAACUCCAAACUCUUUUAACAUGUAGCUUUGUCUUUUUUUCAGAAUUGAAAUUCAUGAAAUUUUUAUAGUGUGCAUCUAUUUAAGAUUUUUUUUUUGUGUCAUAGUAGAAUGUAUUUUUGUGUUUUAAUAAUUAUUUCCCUUUCAAAUGUUGUAUGAUUCUAGCAAUAUCAAAGAACGCAAGCUGUGGAACUUCUUUCAUUUUAAAAAACAUGACAAACAAGUAAAGAAUGUGCACAAGUGGGAAGAAAUUGAUCAAGAGGUAUUGGAUGAUUACUGUCCUUAUUCUACUGAAGCCCCUAAAACAUUGCCAACACAGUGGACAAAUAUUGAAGUUGGUAAUUGGUUAUGGAGCAUUGGAAUGGAGGAGUAUGUUGUAAAAUUUUAUUGUAAAGGAAUAAAUGGUGGAAAACUCCUUAUACUGGACAAUCGCUCGCUAAAAGAAAUCGAAGUCAACAGGAAGAAAGACCGCCGGAAAAUACUUAAGGCUAUUAAGAAAAUUAGAGAUUUUUUGGAAAAAAAUCAUAUUUGGGUCUUACUAUAG
rnacentral:lncRNA from 1 species